rnacentral:rRNA from 1 species
AACGAACGCUGGCGGCAGGCUUAACACAUGCAAGUCGAACGAUCUCUUCGGAGAUAGUGGCAGACGGGUGAGUAACGCGUGGGAACCUACCUUAUUCUACGGAAUAACAGUUAGAAAUGACUGCUAAUACCGUAUACGCCCUUCGGGGGAAAGAUUUAUCGGAGUAAGAUGGGCCCGCGUUGGAUUAGCUAGUUGGUGGGGUAAUGGCCUACCAAGGCGACGAUCUAUAGCUGGUCUGAGAGGAUGAUCAGCCACACUGGAACUGAGACACGGUCCAG